UGCUUGCUUCAGCAGCACAUAUACUCAAAUGGG
rnacentral:snRNA from 1 species